GGUCCUGUGUAGCGCAGUUGGUAGAGCGUGAUGCUUACAACACCACAGCUGUUGCUUUGAUUCCUACUGGGGUCA